GAUGAAGAACGUAGUGAAAUGAGAUACGUAAUGUGAAUUGCAGAAUUCAGUGAAUCAUCGAGUCUUUGAACGCACAUUGCGCCCCCUGGUAUUCCGGGGGGCAUGCCUGUCCGAGCGUCAUUGCUGCCCUCAAGCACGGCUUGUGUGUUGGGCCUCCGUCCUCCUCCCGGGGGACGGGCCCGAAAGGCAGCGGCGGCACCGCGUCCGGUCCUCGAGCGUAUGGGGCUUCGUCACCCGCUCUUGUAGGCCCGGCCGGCGCUUGCCGACACAUCAAUCUUUUUUCCAGGUUGACCUCGGAUCAGGUAGGGAUACCCGCUGAACUUAAGCAUAUCAAUAAGCGGAGGA
rnacentral:misc_RNA from 1 species